GUUAUAGGGACAAGUGAAUAAGUGCACAUGGUGGAUGCCUUGGCGAUUACAGGCGAUGAAGGACGUAGWAGUCUGCGAUAAGCUUCGGGGAGCUGACAAACAAGCAUUGAUCCGAAGAUUUCCGAAUGGGGAAACCCGGCCUUAUAGGUCAUCACUCACUGAAUACAUAGGUGUGUGAAGCGAACGCGGCGAACUGAAACAUCUAAGUAGCUGCAGGAAAAGAAAUCAACCGAGAUUCCCAAAGUAGUGGCGAGCGAAAUGGGAAGAGCCUGUAUGUGAUAGUCGUUUGGAUAAUGGAACAGAUUGGAAACUCUGGCCAUAGCGGGUGAUAGCCCCGUACAUGAAAUCCARGCGGUGGUACUAAGCAUACGACAAGUAGGGCGGGACACGAGAAAUCCUGUCUGAACAUGGGGGGACCAUCCUCCAAGGCUAAAUACUCGUAAUCGACCGAUAGUGAACCAGUACCGUGAGGGAAAGGCGAAAAGAACCCCGGGAGGGGAGUGAAAUAGAUCCUGAAACCGUGUGCAUACAAACAGUCGGAGCCUCGWAAGGGGUGACGGCGUACCUUUUGUAUAAUGGGUCAGCGACUUACAUUCAGUGGCGAGGUUAACCGAAUAGGGGAGCCGUAGAGAAAUCGAGUCCGAACAGGGCGCCAGUCGCUGGGUGUAGACCCGAAACCAAGUGAUCUAUCCAUGGCCAGGUUGAAGGUGCGGUAACACGCACUGGAGGACCGAACCCACUAAUGUUGAAAAAUUAGGGGAUGAGCUGUGGAUAGGGGUGAAAGGCUAAACAAACUUGGAAAUAGCUGGUUCUCUCCGAAAACUAUUUAGGUAGUGCCUCAAGUAUCACCGACGGGGGUAGAGCACUGUUAUGGCUAGGGGGUCAUCGCGACUUACCAAACCAUUGCAAACUCCGAAUACCGUUGAGUGCGAGCUUGGGAGACAGACAUCGGGUGCUAACGUCCGGUGUCAAGAGGGAAACAACCCAGACCGCCAGCUAAGGUCCCAAAGAUUGGCUAAGUGGAAAACGAAGUGGGAAGGCUAAAACAGUCAGGAUGUUGGCUUAGAAGCAGCCAUCAUUUAAAGAAAGCGUAAUAGCUCACUGAUCGAGUCGUCCUGCGCGGAAGAUGUAACGGGGCUAAGCCAGUCACCGAAGCUGCGGAUAUGCAUUUAUGCAUAUGGUAGGAGAGCGUUCUGUAAGCCUGCGAAGGUGUCUUGUAAAGGAUGCUGGAGGUAUCAGAAGUGCGAAUGCUGACAUGAGUAGCGAUAAUGCGGGUGAAAAGCCCGCACGCCGUAAGCCCAAGGUUUCCUGUUCAACGUUCAUCGGAGCAGGGUGAGUCGGCCCCUAAGGCGAGGCAGAGAUGCGUAGCUGAUGGGAAGCAGGUUAAUAUUCCUGCACCGUCGUAUGAUGCGAUGGGGGGACGGAUCGCGGAAGGUUGUCUGMCUGUUGGAAUAGKCAGUUUCUGGUUCAUAGGAGGUACUUAGGCAAAUCCGGGUACGUAAUCCAAGGGACUGGGACGAGUGARCUUGYUCACGAAGCAAUCGGAAGUGGUUCCAAGAAAAGCCUCUAAGCUUCAGUCAUACGAGACCGUACCGCAAACCGACACAGGUGGGCGAGAUGAGUAUUCUAAGGCGCUUGAGAGAACUCGGGAGAAGGAACUCGGCAAAUUGGUACCGUAACUUCGGGAUAAGGUACGCCUCGGUAGCUUGACCACUUUACUGUGGAAGGGCGAAAAGGUUGCAAUAAACUGGUGGCUGCGACUGUUUAAUAAAAACACAGCACUCUGCAAACACGAAAGUGGACGUAUAGGGUGUGACGCCUGCCCGGUGCUGGAAGAUUAAAUGAUGGGGUGCAAGCUCUUGAUUGAAGUCCCAGUAAACGGCGGCCGUAACUAUAACGGUCCUAAGGUAGCGAAAUUCCUUGUCGGGUAAGUUCCGACCUGCACGAAUGGCGUAACGAUGGCCACACUGUCUCCUCCCGAGACUCAGCGAAGUUGAAGUGUUUGUGAUGAUGCAAUCUACCCGCGGCUAGACGGAAAGACCCCAUGAACCUUUACUGUAGCUUUGCAUUGGACUUUGAACCAAUCUGUGUAGGAUAGGUGGGAGGCUUUGAAGUAGGGACGCCAGUUCCUAUGGAGCCAACCUUGAAAUACCACCCUGGUUUGUUUGAGGUUCUAACCUUGGUCCGUAAUCCGGAUCGGGGACAGUGCAUGGUAGGCAGUUUGACUGGGGCGGUCUCCUCCCAAAGUGUAACGGAGGAGUUCGAAGGUACGCUAGGUACGGUCGGACAUCGUGCUAAUAGUGCAAUGGCAUAAGCGUGCUUAACUGCGAGACCGACAAGUCGAGCAGGUACGAAAGUAGGACAUAGUGAUCCGGUGGUUCUGUAUGGAAGGGCCAUCGCUCAACGGAUAAAAGGUACUCUGGGGAUAACAGGCUGAUUCCUCCCAAGAGUUCAUAUCGACGGGGGAGUUUGGCACCUCGAUGUCGGCUCAUCACAUCCUGGGGCUGUAGCCGGUCCCAAGGGUAUGGCUGUUCGCCAUUUAAAGUGGUACGUGAGCUGGGUUUAAAACGUCGUGAGACAGUUUGGUCCCUAUCUGCCGUGGGCGUUGGAAAUUUGAAGGGGGCUGCUCCUAGUACGAGAGGACCGGAGUGGACGAACCUCUGGUGUACCCUGAAAGCAUCUAAGCGGGAAACUUGCCUUAAGAUGAGAUUUCCCGGAGCCUUGAGCUCCUUGAAGGGUCGUUCGAGACCAGGACGUUGAUAGGUCAGRUGUGGAAGUGCAGUAAUGCAUUAAGCUAACUGAUACUAAUUGCCCGUAAGGCUUGUCCCUAUAACCUUGACGGUUAUGUA
rnacentral:rRNA from 1 species